UAGGGAAUCUUCCGCAAUGGGCGAAAGCCUGACGGAGCGACGCCGCGUGAGUGAUGAAGGUCUUCGGAUCGUAAAACUCUGUUAUUAGGGAAGAACAAAUGUGUAAGUAACUAUGCACGUCUUGACGGUACCUAAUCAGAAAGCCACGGCUAACUACGUGCCAGCAGCCGCGGUAAUACGUAGGUGGCAAGCGUUAUCCGGAAUUAUUGGGCGUAAAGCGCGCGUAGGCGGUUUUUUAAGUAUGAUGUGAAAGCCCACGGCUCAACCGUGGAGGGUCAUUGGAAACUGGAAAACUUGAGUGCAGAAGAGGAGAGUGGAAUUCCAUGUGUAGCGGUGAAAUGCGCAGAGAUAUGGAGGAACACCAGUGGCGAAGGCGACUUUCUGGUCUGUAACUGACGCAGAUGUGCGAAAGCGUGGGGAUCAAACAGG
rnacentral:rRNA from 1 species